rnacentral:rRNA from 1 species
UGGGGAAUAUUGGACAAUGGGCGAAAGCCUGAUCCAGCCAUGCCGCGUGUGUGAAGAAGGUCUUCGGAUUGUAAAGCACUUUAAGUUGGGAGGAAGGGCAGUAAGCGAAUACCUUGCUGUUUUGACGUUACCGACAGAAUAAGCACCGGCUAACUCUGUGCCAGCAGCCGCGGUAAUACAGAGGGUGCAAGCGUUAAUCGGAAUUACUGGGCGUAAAGCGCGCGUAGGUGGUUCGUUAAGUUGAAUGUGAGAGCCCCGGGCUCAACCUGGGAAGUGCAUCCUAGACUGGCGAGCUAGAGUAGGGCAGAGGGUGGUGGAAUUUCCUGUGUAGCGGUGAAAUGCGUAGAUAUAGGAAGGAACACCCGUGGCGAAGGCGACCACCUGGGCUCAUACUGACACUGAGGUGCGAAAGCGUGAGGAGCAAACAGG